rnacentral:lncRNA from 1 species
CAUCUGUAUACACCCAGGAGCCCCGGGGCACGUCUCCAGCCACAGAGGAGAGGCGAGGAGGAGUCUGGCGGGUUUUUCUGGGAGAGCGGAGUGAAUAGCUGGCCUGACUCAGCUGCUGCCAAACCUGGAGACCAGGAAGAGGGAGCUAAAGACCCCCAGCCAACGCCAAGCAGGGCAGAUGCGCCGAGGGCAAUAGAAGUCAAUCGCCUUGUGAGUCUGGAGGCCCGGAUUUCGCAAGAAGGCACUGGCAGUGCUGGCCACUUCAGAGGCUCCACGGUAGGUGACAGCCUGCCUCCCUCCACCCUGUCAUUCUCUGCUGGGGGCACAUCACUCCAGUCCUGGCUCCACAUCACUGGGCACUCUGCCAAUUUUCCUGGGCCAGACCCAUCUUCCAAGGAUGCACUCAUGCCGACUGGGCUGGCCACAGAGACCCCUUUCCAGACAAGGUUACGUCCACUGCACAGGACUGGGACUUUGGCCUGUGAUUUUGGGAUCCACAGCAGCGAUGGCAGACCUCCUGGCACCAUGAGUGGGCACGAAGGAGGGCACUGUGCUCCAGGGGCUGCAGGGGCUGGGCAGAGAACGACAGGGCUUUCUGCUUGGCCACCCCGGGUCCACCCUCUGGGGUAGAGACAGCGUUUUCCUGUCUUGAGGAGGGAUAGGUAGCUGACUGGGGUCGCACAGGGGGCCUCCCAGGUGUGAGGUCCAGGUGCCCUUUUUACGCUCGACGUGAGCCGCCCAGGAUUAUCGAAGAGCAGCUGGCUCCAGACGGAACAAGGGCCAGGGCCAACAGUCCAGCACUGCCCUCCAGGAACCUGGACCACGUUCCUGAGGAGCCUCCUGUUUCCAACCAGCCACAAGCUGAGGUGAGGCUGGGGGAGGCUGAGAGUCCAUGCCAAGCUGAGGGACCCUGAUGCCCAGGAACUGAAGGCCGCAGGCAGAGGUCCAGGGCGGCACUCCAUGGACAGGGGGAUGUCCUGACAGGAGGCAGGGUCCACAGGAGGCAGGACCAGCAACGUGGUCUGUGGGGCCUGUGCCAAGGGACAGCCUCAGGGAGUCAGUGAGAAUGUCAAGGUGGCGGCAGAGUGUCAGGGGUGCAGGGCCUCCUGAGCAUGGCCACCAACCCUGCAGGGACUCCUGCGUGGUCCUGCCACCUGUCCUCCUACACCUGGGGCUCCUGGGGCCCUCCUGGAGCUGGGGUCAGGACACUGCAGGAAGGGGUGCAUGGCCAGAGCUGC